CCUUGGCGAGAAAAUAGUACUGGAAUCAAAACAAACUGGAUUGUCUUCUUUGACUAUAUUCGUUCUUAUGUGACAGCGUGUUCUUCGGCACACGAGCGUGGCGUGGAAAGUGAGGUGUUGUAACCUUGAGGGUAAGCGAGGUGACGUGCUCGUGGCGUGACAGUACUCCUGAGUGGUGGAAAGACUCUGUUUGGGACCUGCUUCCUGGAGGGCGGCUCAGAGCUGACCUAUUUUUUCGUGUUUUUGCCCAAUGUGAGACUCUUCUCUCUUGAUUUUGCACCGCUAUGACCUCAUUACUCUCUAAACACGUGUGUUAAUUAAAAAUCUAAAUCAAAGAUGUAAGUGUGACGACUGAUUGAAGGACGGUUCGCUAUUAUAAUAAUAUAUUGGUAACAGUACGUACAUAAUAAUAAUGGUAAUAAUAAUAAUAGUUUUGGGUUAAGACUUUCGGUGUGAUCCCUGUGCAGGUGUCUGAAAUAACACCAGCCAGAAUUUUUACAACUUUUAUUAGAGGAAACUCAGUUUUACUUGGCCUCAGGUGUAAGAAUUCCUCUCAUGAAUGGCAUUACAGUGUUAAUGCUAAUGUGAAGACUGCACUAUCUGGAAAUACUGUGCAAGUGGUGGAUGGAGUGAAAGCAAGCCCAGCAUUCAGAGGAUAGCAUUAGGUUUGCUGUGCCUAUGGUGACCCAGCCAUUGAAAGUUGGACCUUGUUAAGUAUCAUGGAUAUCUCUGUUUAAAUAAGGUACGUAGGGAGAGGUUGGGAGGCGCGGCACAGGCUGAGACGAGGCUGAGGUAUGCAGUGUUGGUGAGGCAGGAGGAGUAUUCUGCCGCUUGGAGAGAGAGAGAGAGAGAGAGAGAGAGAGAGAGAGAGAGAGAGAGAGAGAGAGAGAGAGAGAGAGAGAGAGAGAGUGUGUGUGUCUGACUUAAUGUGUCCAGAUGGUGUUGGCUGUUAAACAGGUGAUAUGAUUCUGUAAGGCAUCAUGAGCGAGGCACCAACCACAUGUCUGUCUUUGUCCAUAUGGCGUGCCUGCAAUGUAUCAGUCUCAACAGUUACUAUUAUAUAUAUAACAAGCUAAUUACCCACGACUUCCAAGCUACCAGAAUCGCCGCCUCACUCCGGUCAUCCACGCUACCAACACUCCAAGCAUCUCCAUCAACUGGACAAGUAACAAUCAUCAUGUCAUCAACUCAGAACAGAGGUGAAUAAUCAACUCAGAAGCACUGGUGGGCAACUUCAUUCAAACAGUGGUGGACAGAAGCUUCCUGAUACAGCAACAUGGAGGCUCAACUUAUGUUAUUAUUUUUUUUUGUAGAUUUUUUUGUAACUAGGAGUUUUGAAGAAGCUAAAUGAUUUCCUUUUUAUUGUAAUCAGUUUGUAUUCCAUUUCUUAUAUUCAAUUUUCCUCUCUGCCUCGGUCUCUGUCUUUGUGUGCCAUCGCUCAAUGGUGGUGCCACAUAUCCCACCUCGUCAGGUGCACCGCUGCCGCCACACGUACUGUCGCCCAUCUCUGUGUAUCAGAUGUACCAGGCUGGAAGUGUGUUGUUGUUGGUAGCUUGACACGGGGACCUCCAUCCUCCACUGCGCCCUUAGUUGUUCCUGCAGUUUCCCUCCUUACAUGAUACAGUUAGGAAGGUGAUGGAAUUACAUGUUGUGCAUUCGUCAGUACAUUUGAUACAGCGUAAAUAUUGUUGAUCGACUGCUGACUGACUGACCCUCUCCGACCUCGGACUUCACAUGCGGCCGAGAGACGUCCACCAGUCAGAUGCAGGUGAAUCAUAGGGCCACGUGGAGUUUAUGGCGACAAGGGAAAAGGGUGUGCAGAUCAGGGAGGAAAUGUGCACAUGUUCUUCAGGUGUGCUGAGGUCGAGGGGAAGGAAAGAGGCCGUGUCGGGUUGGGCUGAUGUCAGGGUGUCGUCAGAUCAAGAAGGUAGUGUUUAAAUAGUAUGAGGGCGCUCUCUCUCUCUCUCUCUCUCUCUCUCUCUCUCUCUCUCUCUCUCUCUCUCUCUCUCUCUCUCUCUCUCUCUCUCUCUCUCU